UCCGUAGGUGGAUAAUUAAGUCAGAGGUGAAAUCCUGCAGCUCAACUGUAGAAUUGCCUUUGAUACUGGUUAUCUUGAAUUAUUGUGAAGUGGUUAGAAUAUGUAGUGUAGCGGUGAAAUGCAUAGAUAUUACAUAGAAUACCAAUUGCGAAGGCAGAUCACUAACAAUAUAUUGACACUGAUGGACGAAAGCGUGGGGAGCGAACAGGAUUAGAUACCCUGGUAGUCC
rnacentral:rRNA from 1 species